AUUGAACGCUGGCGGCAGGCCUAACACAUGCAAGUCGAGCGGAUGAAGGGAGCUUGCUCCUGGAUUCAGCGGCGGACGGGUGAGUAAUGCCUAGGAAUCUGCCUGGUAGUGGGGGAUAACGUCCGGAAACGGGCGCUAAUACCGCAUACGUCCUGAGGGAGAAAGUGGGGGAUCUUCGGACCUCACGCUAUCAGAUGAGCCUAGGUCGGAUUAGCUAGUUGGUGGGGUAAAGGCCUACCAAGGCGACGAUCCGUAACUGGUCUGAGAGGAUGAUCAGUCACACGGGAACUGAGACACGGUCCAGACUCCUACGGGAGGCAGCAGUGGGGAAUAUUGGACAAUGGGCGAAAGCCUGAUCCAGCCAUGCCGCGUGUGUGAAGAAGGUCUUCGGAUUGUAAAGCACUUUAAGUUGGGAGGAAGGGCAGUAAGUUAAUACCUUGCUGUCUUGACGUUACCAACAGAAUAAGCACCGGCUAACUUCGUG
rnacentral:rRNA from 1 species